rnacentral:rRNA from 1 species
UACAGAGGGUGCGAGCGUUGUUCGGAAUUACUGGGCGUAAAGUGUGCGCAGGCGGCCGCGCAAGUCGAGUGUGAAAGCCCCGAGCUUAACUUGGGAAUUGCGCUCGAAACUACGUGGCUGGAGUGUGGCAGAGGAAGGUGGAAUUCCACGUGUAGCGGUGAAAUGCGUAGAGAUGUGGAGGAACACCGAUGGCGAAGGCAGCCUUCUGGGCCAACACUGACGCUCAUGCACGAAAGCGUGGGGAGCAAACAGG